UAUUUUUGAUUUAUUAGCCGAAAACCACUUAUCUAUUGUUAACAUGUCAACUUCAGAUUUAUUCCAAACCGUAUCCCAGGUAGAAUCCGAGACUAUGGUGGCCGUGUCGUCAGUAUAUGAAUACGUUUUACCAAUGAUAUUAAGGUUGCCUAAAGCAGCUACGUACAUCAUGUAUAAAAUUGGCGACAGAACUGUACUUUGAGGGACUCCAUUAUUAAUUUGGCCUAUU